UACGUAGGGUGCAAGCGUUGUCCGGAAUUAUUGGGCGUAAAGAGCUCGUAGGCGGCUUGUCACGUCGACUGUGAAAACCCGGGGCUCAACUCCGGGCCUGCGGUCGAUACGGGCAGGCUCGAGUUCGGUAGGGGAGACUGGAAUUCCUGGUGUAGCGGUGAAAUGCGCAGAUAUCAGGAGGAACACCGGUGGCGAAGGCGCCACUCUGGGCCGGUACUGACGCUGAGGAGCGAAAGCGUGGGUAGCAAACAGG
rnacentral:rRNA from 1 species